rnacentral:rRNA from 1 species
AACGAACGCUGGCGGCAGGCUUAACACAUGCAAGUCGAACGCAUCGCAAGAUGAGUGGCAGACGGGUGAGUAACGCGUGGGAACAUACCCUUUUCUACGGAAUAGCUCUGGGAAACUGGAAUUAAUACCGCAUACGCCCUACGGGGGAAAGAUUUAUCGGGGAAGGAUUGGCCCGCGUUGGAUUAGCUAGUUGGUGGGGUAAAGGCCUACCAAGGCGACGAUCCAUAGCUGGUCUGAGAGGAUGAUCAGCCACAUUGGGACUGAGACACGGCCCAAACUCCUACGGGAGGCAGCAGUGGGGAAUAUUGGACAAUGGGCGCAAGCCUGAUCCAGCCAUGCUGCGUGAGUGAUGAAGGCCUUAGGGUUGUAAAGCUCUUUCACCGAUGAAGAUAAUGACGGUAGUCGGAGAAGAAGCCCCGGCUAACUUCGUGCCAGCCGCCGCAGUAACAC